CCCACAUUCCUUUCUUCUGUUUAUUCAUUUGACAGAUACCUACUGAGUUCCCGCUCUGUGUGAGGUCGGGGGUGGAGUCUGGGGAGAAGGAAAUAAGCCAGGAACCUGCGUUUGCCGAUGUGAUGGUGUGAAGUGGUGACUGGCCUGAGGGCCCCUCCUUAUGGGAUUAGUGCCCCCAGAAAGAGCCUUAUCGGGGGUCUGUCCCUCCCGCCAUUGCCUCCUGAGGACCCGCAUUUCUCCCUCCAGGGGACACUGCACGCCAGGCACCGUCUUGGGUAGAGAGCAGCCCUCACCAAAUGCGGGUGCCUUGGCCUUGGACUUUCAGCCCCCAGCACUGUGAGAAGUUCUCUCUCCUUUGGGACCAAGGUGGAGUCUUGCUUCUCCGUGGGCAUGUGAGGGUGAGUGAAACCACGACACUUCUCUGCAUGGUGCUCGUCUGUGUUCUCCGGAGAGGCCGCUACUUGCCGGGGCCCUACAAUCAGGACGAUGAUGACGGAUGCCGGCUCCCACCAGCGAGGUCACGUGUCCAGGCCGUGAUGUCGUGAAGGCUGGGAGAUGCUGGCACCGCUCACCGGGGUGGUAAACUCUCUGCUGCAACAGGGUCUACCCUCAUCAGCUGGGCCUCAUCUUAACCAACUCCACCUGCAAAGGCCCUGUUUCCAGAUGAGGCCGCAGCCUGAGGUUCUGGGUGGACACCAUUCUACCCAGUACCACCCUCUGACCUGUGGGAGGAGCCCAGGCCUGCCGGGAGGCGGGUGCACACUCACAGAACGUGCAGCGCAGGUGUGCACUCUAGAGCCCACCUCAGUGCUGAGGUCGACGUCACCCCCGGGCUCUUGGGCCGUGGCCAACGGCAGGCCAUCUGCGAGAACAGAGACGAGGGCUUGGAUCAGUUUCUGUCUGAGUUGGCGCCUUCCCAGGCUGGCUGUUGGCUCUGCUCCCUUCUGGGACCUGUUGGGAUGAGCAGAUCAGGGAGUAUUUUGAGCCGAAAGGUACGUGGGGAAACUGGGACUGACAGCGAAUUCCCUGUCUGCGUUUGCCCACAUGAGUUUUUCUUUGUGCUCUUGUGCUCUCAGGAAUUCAGCCUCUGAAUCCCUCCUGGGCCUGGGGUGGAGCAGGGUGAACACAUACGGAAGCGUAAACACAGCGGGCCGACUUCAGCCUGCAGCUCAGCCCUGCGGUCUCCUGGGCAACGCGCUGCGUGGGGACAUUGUCUCUCACCUGAAAAGCUGCUUACGGGCCCCCACCUCGUCGUGGGUUUAAAGCGGAUUAAUGGGAGGGUUGGUGGUUCUGGGGCUGGCAGGGCUUCCCAGCAGGGGCAGCCCCUUCAUGUGGUGGCGAGCUUGGUAGUGACAACAGGCAGGCCGCUGUGCCCCGGGUGGGUGGCUGGAGCUGGGCGUGGGGUGUCUCCCCGUGAGGACUGUCUGCCCUGCCCGCUGCUCACAAGCCUUCUGCGUUUCCCACCACGCUCUCCUCACCUUCUACUGGGAGGAAGGUCCCAGGGCACGGGAGGGACCCUGUCUAGAGUGGAGCUGGGCUGCCCCAUCUCAGGUCAUGGGUCACGGCUGCCCCAUCUCAGGUGACGGCAGCCCCCUUCAGGUGAAGGCCAAGGCGCGGCUCUUCUCCUCCCAGCCUGAAGCAGAUCCUGUUGUCUGCAAGUACCCAGCAUCCGAUGGCUUCUCACGGCCUCCACCCCGGCCACCUGGUCCGAGACACUGCUGUCUCCGGCCUGGACUGGUGCAGUAGCCAGCAGCUGCUGCUCUCGCCCUCUAUGGGGCAGCCUCACACGGCCCGUGGUGCCCCUGCUGGUGCUCAGUCCUUGUGCGCUCCCUCCCUUGAGCAUGUGCGGGACCUGUGGUUUAUCUCAAAUGAAUAGAAAAUGGCAAAAGCAAUGGGGUGUCACUUCCAAAUCUGGUCGCGGAAAGACCCUGGUCUAUCUUGCUCAUCCCUCUCACCCUCUCCCACGGUCUGGUGAAACCAGUGGCUGUGCCGAGAGCUGCCAUGGGGCAAGAGACUGAGGGCGGCUUCCAGCUAAACGCCAGUGAGGAGCUGAGGCCCUGAAGAACUGAAUCCCGCCCAGAACUACAUGCCUGAGCUCGGAGCCAUUUCUUCCCCAUGGGAGAUGAGACCCCUGCCCAGCUGAGUCCGGAUUGCAGCCUGUGAGACCCUGAGCCUGCGGAUCCAGCCAAGCCAUACCUGAUCCUUGAUCUAAGGAAAAUGGGAGCUGAUAAGUGUGUGCUGUUUUCAGCUGCCAAGUGUGGGACCCUUUGUGAUGCUGGAGUCAGUAGAUGCCGCAGGCUCACCCCGCCCUCUCCUCCCAGCCAGCAUGAUUAUGUCAAGACCAGAUCAGCUCACAGCACUUCCCUGCUCAUGGCUCCUAGUGUCUCAACAGCCCCAGGCCCUGCCCCAUUUGUCACCUCCCAGCCACCCACCCCAGGCCCUGCACUGUUCGUCACCCCCUGGCCACUGCCUGCUCCCCAGGCCUGCCCUGUUCAUCACCCCCCCAACAGGCCUUGAACCAUUCAUCACCCCCCGGCCACCAGCCCCAG
rnacentral:lncRNA from 1 species